UAAAAAUCUUUAAAGGACAUGCAUGUAUUGAAGUGCCUGGACAUGGAAAAACUUGGGGACACAAAUACUAGAGACCACAGGAUGACACGUUGAAUGCAAAAAUGACAAAGGUGAAAUAAAGACAUAAGGGAGAUGUUUAACGUGAAUACUGCAGGAAAAGAGGAUGGCCGCAUAAAAGGAGAAAAUAUUCCAUAAACUAAACAAUUUCAAUAGAAGUAACUCAGAGUCAGAGAAAAAUUGAAGAAAUUUAAGCAAAUCUCUAUCCCAUGUAUAUGCC